rnacentral:rRNA from 1 species
GGAUCGACGGGUCGGUCGCGCCUCUGGUGUGUACUGGCCCUGUCGGUUUCUCCCUUCUGACGAACCACGAUGUCAUUAAUUUGGUGUCGUGGGAAAUCAGGACUGUUACUUUGAAAAAUUUUAGAGUGUUUAAAGCAGGCAUUCGCUUGAAUACAUUAGCAUGGAAUAAUGAAAUAGGACGUUUGAUCUUAUUUUGUUGGUUUCUAAGAUCGACGUAAUGAU